rnacentral:rRNA from 1 species
AUACGUAGGUGACAAGCGUUAUCCGGAUUUACUGGGCGUAAAGGGCGUGUAGGCGGUCUUGCAAGUCAGAAGUGAAAUUCCUGAGCUCAACUCGGGCGCUGCUUCUGAAACUGCAGGACUUGAGUGCUGGAGGGGAUAGCGGAAUUCCUAGUGGAGCGGUAAAAUGCGCAGAUAUUAGGAAGAACACCGGUGGCGAAGGCGGAGAUCUGGACAGUAACUGACGCUGAGGCGCGAAAGCGGGGGGAGCAAACAGGAUUAGAUCCCCUGGUAGUCCACGCCGUAAACGAUGAAUACUAGGUGUAGGGGGUAUCGACUCCCUCUGUGCCGCAGUUAACACAAUAAGUAUUCCGCCUGGGGAGUACGGCCGCAAGGUUGAAACUUAAAGGAAUUGACGGGG